rnacentral:lncRNA from 1 species
GUAGGGCCAAUAAGUCCCCAUCUUGUAGAACUUCAAGUAGUCCUUCCAAUCAAAGAACACCCGCACCGACUUGGCAGUCUUGGAGGCCUCCAGCGCCUUGGCACUGGCGCACACGAUCCCGAUCCCCGUGGGCAGCGACAGCGCCUUCUGCGACCCCGUGAGGGCCACGUCCACGCCCCACUCGUCCAUGCGGAAGUCGAGGGCGCAGAUGGAGGACACGCCGUCCACCAGGAAGAGCGCCGGGUGCUGGUACCGGUCCAGGAUCUUCCUCACGGUGGCCAGGUUGUUGGUGACGCCCGUGGCCGUCUCGUUGUGGACGAUGCAGAUGGCCUUGAUGGUGUGGGC